rnacentral:rRNA from 1 species
UACGUAGGGGCUAGCGUUAUCCGGAAUUACUGGGCGUAAAGGGUGCGUAGGUGGUUUCUUAAGUCAGAGGUGAAAGGCUACGGCUCAACCGUAGUAAGCCUUUGAAACUGGGAAACUUGAGUGCAGGAGAGGAGAAUGGAAUUCCUAGUGUAGCGGUGAAAUGCGUAGAGAUUAGGAAGAACACCAGUGGCGAAGGCGAUUCUCUGGACUGUAACUGACGCUGAGGCUCGAAAGCGUGGGGAGCAAACAGGAUUAGAUACCCUGGUAGUCCCUGAG